CACGUAGGCGGAUUGUUAAGUUAGGGUGAAAUCCCAGGGCUCAACCCUGGAACUGCCUUUAAUACUGGCAAUCUCGAGUCCGAGAGAGGUGAGUGGAAUUCCGAGUGUAGAGGUGAAAUUCGUAGAUAUUCGGAGGAACACCAGUGGCGAAGGCGGCUCACUGGCUCGGUACUGACGCUGAGGUGCGAAAGCGUGGGAGCAAACA
rnacentral:rRNA from 1 species